rnacentral:rRNA from 1 species
AUUGAACGCUGGCGGCAUGCUUUACACAUGCAAGUCGAACGGUAACAGGCCGCAAGGUGCUGGCGAGUGGCGCACGGGUGAGUAAUGCAUCGGAACGUGCCCAGUCGUGGGGGAUAACUACUCGAAAGAGUAGCUAAUACCGCAUACGAUCUAUGGAUGAAAGCGGGGGACCGUAAGGCCUCGCGCGAUUGGAGCGGCCGAUGUCAGAUUAGGUAGUUGGUGGGGUAAAGGCUCACCAAGCCAACGAUCUGUAGCUGGUCUGAGAGGACGACCAGCCACACUGGGACUGAGACACGGCCCAGACUCCUACGGGAGGCAGCAGUGGGGAAUUUUGGACAAUGGGCGCAAGCCUGAUCCAGCAAUGCCGCGUGCAGGAAGAAGGCCUUCGGGUUGUAAACUGCUUUUGUACGGAACGAAACGGCUCUGGUUAAUACCCGGGGCUAAUGACGGUACCGUAAGAAUAAGCACCGGCUAACUACGUG